rnacentral:rRNA from 1 species
UACGUAGGGUGCGAGCGUUAAUCGGAAUUACUGGGCGUAAAGCGUGCGCAGGCGGUUUUUUAAGACAGGCGUGAAAUCCCCGGGCUCAACCUGGGAACUGCGCUUGUGACUGGAAGACUAGAGUAUGGCAGAGGGGGGUGGAAUUCCGCGUGUAGCAGUGAAAUGCGUAGAUAUGCGGAGGAACACCAAUGGCGAAGGCAAUCCCUGGGCCUGCACUGACGCUCAUGCACGAAAGCGUGGGGAGCAAACAGGAUUAGAUACCCUAGUAGU